AUCAUGAAAAUGAUAUCAUGCAAAGAAAAAAAAAAUUGUUGUAGGGAACUGAAGGAGUGGGGGUGUAGGAAGAAUAAGGAGUUCAUCGAACGGAGAAACUUUAUCGUAAGUAAGUUGGAGGGGCUGCGAAACCAUACUGACACUAGUGCAAAUAGUGGGAACCUAAGGUUGAGGGAUGAGCUAAAUGUGUUAUUGGAUGCUGAGGAAAGGAAAUAGAAACAGAGGGCAAAG
rnacentral:lncRNA from 1 species